CCUGAGCUCAUGGAAUGAUGUGUGAAUUACUGGUGGGAUUUCUAUGGAUCAGUUUCAGGACUGGGAUAGACAGGGUUAAUUCCCAGGUACUGAGGGAUUCAGUGAACACUGCUCCAGGAAUAAGAUGCUCAAUAAUGAGGUAGCCUGGGAGUAAUGAGAGUGAGACUGCUCCAGUAUGCAGGCAGCCUGGGAGUAAUGAGAGCGAGACUGCUCCAGUAUGUAGGCAGCCUGGGAGUAAUGAGAGCGAGACUGCUCCAGUGUGUAGGCAGCCUGGGAGUAAUGAGAGUGAGACUGCUCCAGUAUGCAGGCAGCCUGGGAGUAAUGAGAGUGAGACUGCUCCAGUACAGAGACAGCCUGGGAGUAAUGAGAGCGAGACUGCUCCAGUAUGUAGGCAGCCUGGGAGUAAUGAGAGUGAGACUGCUCCAGUAUGUAGGCAGCCUGGGAGUAAUGAGAGUGAGACUGCUCCAGUAUGUAGGCAGCCUGGGAGUAAUGAGAGUGAGACUGCUCCAGUAUGCAGGCAGCCUGGGAGUAAUGAGAGUGAGACUACCUCAAUACAGAGACAGCCUGGGAGUAAUGAGCGUGAGACUGCGCCAGUAUGUAGGUAGCCUGGGAGUAGUGAGUGCGAGGUUGCUUCAAUACAGAGACAUCCUAGAAGCAAUGAGAGUGUAGACUAAAAGAUACUCCAAUACAUUGACAGCCUGGGAGCAAUGAGAGUGAGACUACUCCAAUACAGAGGCUGCCUGGGAGCAAUGAGAGUUAGACUGCUCCAAUACAGAGGCUGCCUGGGAGCAAUUAGAGUGAGACUACCUCAAUACAGAGACAGCCUGGGUGCAAUGAGAGUUAGACUGCUCCAAUACAGAGGCUGCCUGGGAGCAAUGAGAGUCGAGCUGCUUCCAUACAGGGACAAGCUGGGAGCAAUGAGAGUUAGACUGCUCCAAUACAGAGGCUGCCUGGGAGCAAUGAGAGUGGAUCUGUUUCAAUGCAGAGACAAACUGGGAACAAUGAGAGUUAGACUGCUCCAACACAGAGGCUGCCUGGGAGCAGUGAGAGUGAGAUUUCCCCGGUACAGAGACAGUCUUUAUUCUGUGAAAUGGUGAGACAGCUGGACUCCAAGAGACUGUUUCUGACAGUGAUAUCUGAGAAAUUUUCCAUGAGGGUUCAGCACAGACUCCCUGAUCCAUGCUGUAUAGAUGGACAAAUAGUCUGAUCCCAGAGGACACAGUAAGUUCACAUAUAUUACCCCAUACCUUCCAAUAUUUCAGAUGGAUAAAUUGGGACACUUAACAAUAACAAUCUAUACAACUAAAAUGUGAUCUAAAACAGGAACAAUGUAUCUUAUAUACACAGACUGAUUUCUAAACACAUUUAUUGUAGUUUAAAGACACAUUACUGGGAGUAUUAUUACUGUGGGGCUCUGUGAUACACUCAGAC